rnacentral:rRNA from 1 species
GCAGUCGAGCGGUAAGGCCCUUUCGGGGGUACACGAGCGGCGAACGGGUGAGUAACACGUGGGUGACCUGCCCUCCACUCUGGGAUAAGCCCGGGAAACUGGGUCUAAUACCGGAUAGGACCACUGGAUGCAUGUCUGGUGGUGGAAAGUUUUUUCGGUGGGGGAUGGGCCCGCGGCCUAUCAGCUUGUUGGUGGGGUGAUGGCCUACCAAGGCGGUGACGGGUAGCCGGCCUGAGAGGGCGACCGGCCACACUGGGACUGAGACACGGCCCAGACUCCUACGGGAGGCAGCAGUGGGGAAUAUUGCGCAAUGGGCGGAAGCCUGACGCAGCGACGCCGCGUGGGGGAUGACGGCCUUCGGGUUGUAAACCUCUUUCGCCAGGGACGAAGCUAACGUGACGGUACCUGGAGAAGAAGCACCGGCCAACUACGUGCCAGCAGCCGCGGUAACACGUAGGGUGCGAGCGUUGUCCGGAAUUAUUGGGCGUAAAGAGCUCGUAGGCGGUGUGUCGCGUCGGCCGUGAAAACUUGGGGCUUAACUCUGAGCGUGCGGUCGAUACGGGCAUCACUUGAGUUCGGCAGGGGAGACUGGAAUUCCUGGUGUAGCGGUGAAAUGCGCAGAUAUCAGGAGGAACACCGGUGGCGAAGGCGGGUCUCUGGGCCGAUACUGACGCUGAGGAGCGAAAGCGUGGGGAGCGAACAGGAUUAGAUACCCUGGUAGUCCACGCCGUAAACGUUGGGCGCUAGGUGUGGGGACCAUUCCACGCGGAACCUUGAGUUCUGGGCGGCCAAGCGAAAGUGAUAAGUAUCCCACCUGGGGAGUACGUUCGCAAGAAUGAAACUCAAAGGAAUUGACGGGGGCCCGCACAAGCGGUGGAGCAUGUGGUUUAAUUCGAUGAUACGCGAGGAACCUUACCAGGGCUUAAAUGCAUUUUGACAGGGGUAGAGAUACCUUUUCCUUCGGGCAAUUUGCAAGGUGCUGCAUGGUUGUCGUCAGCUCGUGCCGUGAGGUGUCAGGUUAAGUCCUAUAACGAGCGCAACCCCUACCGUUAGUUGCCAGCAUGUCAUGAUGGGGACUCUAACGGGACUGCCGGUGCAAACCGUGAGGAAGGUGGGGAUGACGUCAAAUCAUCACGGCCCUUACGUCCUGGGCCACACACGUGCUACAAUGGCAGGUACAGAGAGCAGCCAUGUCGCAAGGCAGAGCGAAUCUAUAAAACCUGUCACAGUUCGGAUCGGGGUCUGCAACUCGACCCCGUGAAGCUGGAAUCGCUAGUAAUCGGAUAUCAGCCAUGAUCCGGUGAAUACGUUCCCGGGCCUUGUACACACCGCCCGUCAAGCCAUGGAAGCCGGGAGUGCCUGAAGUCCGUCACCGUAAGGAGCGGCCUAGGGCAAGAUUGGUAACU